GACGAACGCUGGCGGCGUGCUUAACACAUGCAAGUCGAACGGAAAGGCCCUGCUUUUGUGGGGUGCUCGAGUGGCGAACGGGUGAGUAGCACGUGAGUAACCUGCCCUUGACUUUGGGAUAACUUCAGGAAACUGGGGCUAAUACCGGAUAGGAGCUCCUGCUGCAUGGUGGGGGUUGGAAAGUUUCGGCGGUUGGGGAUGGACUCGCGGCUUAUCAGCUUGUUGGUGGGGUAGUGGCUUACCAAGGCUUUGACGGGUAGCCGGCCUGAGAGGGUGACCGGCCACAUUGGGACUGAGAUACGGCCCAGACUCCUACGGGAGGCAGCAGUGGGGAAUAUUGCACAAUGGGCGGAAGCCUGAUGCAGCAACGCCGCGUGCGGGAUGACGGCCUUCGGGUUGUAAACCGCUUUCGCCUGUGACGAAGCGUGAGUGACGGUAAUGGGUAAAGAAGCACCGGCUAACUACGUGCCAGCAGCCGCGGUGAUACGUAGGGUGCGAGCGUUGUCCGGAUUUAUUGGGCGUAAAGGGCUCGUAGGUGGUUGAUCGCGUCGGAAGUGUAAUCUUGGGGCUUAACCCUGAGCGUGCUUUCGAUACGGGUUGACUUGAGGAAGGUAGGGGAGAAUGGAAUUCCUGGUGGAGCGGUGGAAUGCGCAGAUAUCAGGAGGAACACCAGUGGCGAAGGCGGUUCUCUGGGCCUUUCCUGACGCUGAGGAGCGAAAGCGUGGGGAGCGAACAGGCUUAGAUACCCUGGUAGCCCACGCUGUAAACGGUGGGUACUAGGUGUGGGGUCCAUUCCACGGGUUCCGUGCCGUAGCUAACGCUUUAAGUACCCCGCCUGGGGAGUACGGCCGCAAGGCUAAAACUCAAAGGAAUUGACGGGGCCCCGCACAAGCGGCGGAGCAUGCGGAUUAAUUCGAUGCAACGCGUAGAACCUUACCUGGGUUUGACAUGGAUCGGGAGUGCUCAGAGAUGGGUGUGCCUCUUUUGGGGUCGGUUCACAGGUGGUGCAUGGCUGUCGUCAGCUCAUGUCGUGAGAUGUUGGGUUAAGUCCCGCAACGAGCGCAACCCUUGUUCACUGUUGCCAGCACGUUAUGGUGGGGACUCAGUGGAGACCGCCGGGGUCAACUCGGAGGAAGGUGGGGAUGACGUCAAGUCAUCAUGCCCCUUAUGUCCAGGGCUUCACGCAUGCUACAAUGGCUGGUACAGAGAGUGGCGAGCCUGUGAGGGUGAGCGAAUCUCGGAAAGCCGGUCUCAGUUCGGAUUGGGGUCUGCAACUCGACCUCAUGAAGUCGGAGUCGCUAGUAAUCGCAGAUCAGCAACGCUGCGGUGAAUACGUUCCCGGGGCU
rnacentral:rRNA from 1 species